rnacentral:tRNA from 1 species
GAAUUGGUAGGCUACUGACUAAGGCAUUAGGCUUUCAAUUAGUAGGUCACAGGUUCGAAUCCUGUCCUACUCC